GAAGGUAAAAGGAUUCUUUUGUAAUUGGAGAAAAAGAAGAAAAGAAAAGAAAAGAAAAAAGGAAUAUGGAAAGUCAACAAGAUCCUCGGGCGCAACGCAUGGCGUAUAAUUUUGGACCUAAAAAACCUUGUCGCCAACACGCACUGCAAUGACCUACUUUAUUACAAUACUUAUAUUUCCAUGCUUUAUUGCUUUAUUUUUUUACAUCUCUUUUUUUCUUUUCUUAAACCUUCGUUUUACCUAUAAUUGUGAUCUAAAUAGACUAAUAUAACAUACCAUAAAGGAAAAAGAAAAAAAAAAAAUUAGAACAAGAGCUAGGUGCCUAGUCCUAUUUCAUUGUGAAGCAAAGAAAAAAAUAAGUAUUAAAUUAAGGUAUAAUUGAAGAGGGUACAUAGAAAUUAAUUAAUUAAGCUUAAGAUAAUAAUACACAUAAUAUGAGACAUUUUCCUUAUAAUUAAGUUCAAAGGUUUAUGUUUGCUUAAAGACAAAAUAAUUUGUCAAAAAAAAAGGGUGGGGGGAUUAUUAUCCUCUUUCAAUUAGCAUUUUGCUUAACCUACCAUUAUUGGAAAACAAGCUAAGCUGUUACAUGUGAGCUAAUAAUAAUGCUAUAGAAAAAAUCAAAGAUUAGGUAAUGAAUGAUAAACGUAGAUGAAAUAACCCAAAAAAAGAAAAAGAAAAAGAAUAUAAGCCUUAAUUUCAUUUGCACUAAUACUAAUUAGUCUACUUCCAUGUAUGUAUUGUGAGAAUUAUCAGCAACAUUCCAGAAAAAAAAAAGCAAAAAAAGAGAAAAAAGAAAUAAAAGUUUAAAGGAAACUAUAAUUAGGGGUGAUACACCCACAUAAAAUUAUGAGGAAAUUGAAGCAAAAUUAGAACAAAAUGGACCAGAAAAAAGAAAAGAAAAGAAAAGAAAAUGCCUGGCCUUCCCAUGUACGCCGCCGGUGUGGAGAAAGUGGGGUUUGUUUCUUUUAAUGUCAAACGAAGAAGUCUUCAAAUGGGAGCCAGCUGAAGAAAAGCUUCAAAAUCUCCAUAGAUGAAACAACAACAGAUAUUCUUGCAAAAUAUUGCUUCUUUUUCCUCUUCAUUAUUACCUCUUUCUUUUUCUUUUUUUCUUUUUUUGUAAUUGAAGCCUUAGCUUCUUGUAAUGAACUCAAAUAAUGACCAACACAACAAUGGGAGAGAAGGAGAUGAAAGGGAAAAGGAAAAAUGAAAUAAAAUUGGAAUUUGUUAAAAGGAAAAAAGGGCUAAUUAAGAGAGGAAAUAUUAAAAGAAGAAGAAGAAGAAGAAGAAGGGAAAGAUAUUCCCAAGAAGAUGAGGAAGAGGGUUUCCCGUUGAUGCUGUUUUCAAAGGGGGAGAAAAAAGAAAAUAAAUAAAUGAGUUUUUUUUAAUCAUUUUUAAUUUUUAGACUUGUUUUGUCUUUUUAAAUUAAAAGUGAGACAAAAACCAAAACGAAGCAAGAGAGUAGGAGUUCCUUUUUGUUUCACACGUUGGGUUCUUCACUUUGUCUUUCUCCUUUCUCCCAUAACACCAAACAAACACAAUCACACAAUCCAGAAAAUGUUUCAACAAUCCGUCAAUUUUCUCAAACAACCUUAUAUGUCUUACCAUUUACAUU
rnacentral:lncRNA from 1 species